rnacentral:rRNA from 1 species
GGAAUAUUGGGCAAUGGAGGAAACUCUGACCCAGCGACGCCGCGUGCGGGAUGAAGGCCUUCGGGUUGUAAACCGCUUUCAGCAGGGAAGAAGCGAAAGUGACGGUACCUGCAGAAGAAGCACCGGCUAACUAUGUGCCAGCAGCCGCGGUAAUACAUAGGGUGCAAGCGUUGUCCGGAAUUAUUGGGCGUAAAGAGCUCGUAGGUGGUUCGAUACGUCGGAUGUGAAAAUCAGGGGCUCAACCCCUGACCUGCAUCCGAUACGGUCGAGCUAGAGUUUGGUAGGGGAGACUGGAAUUCCUGGUGUAGCGGUGGAAUGCGCAGAUAUCAGGAGGAACACCGAUGGCGAAGGCAGGUCUCUGGGCCAAUACUGACACUGAGGAGCGAAAGCGUGGGGAGCGAACAGGAUUAGAUACCCUGGUAGUCCACGCCGUAAACGGUGGGCGCUAGUUGUGCGAACCUUCCACGGUUUGUGCGACGCAGCUAACGCAUUAAGCGCCCCGCCUGGGGAGUACGAUCGCAAGAUUAAAACUCAAAUGAAUUGACGG